UGUCAACAACUAGCGAUGAUCAAUAACUAACGGGAAUACAAUCCAAAUUAUUUCCAGAUUAAUGACAAGAUUGAAUGUCUCAAAAAAUUUGUGCAUAGUCUCCUGUGAAGUUCUCUGCUACAAGUUUGUCUUAGUAUCAUUCAGUGUUUCCAUUUGACUUGUGUUUAACUUUGUACGCUCCUUUGGAAACCUAUGAUAUUCUUAUUUGAAGGUUUGAGUUGAACUUUCUACAUUUUGACAUUCUUGAAGGGCUUCUAUCUCAUUCAUGCCCUCAAUCGAUAUUUGACUUGCUAGCCUGAUAAAAGUUUAUCGGUUCAUCUUACUUUUCAAUUUAUGAUAAAAGUAAAAUUGAAAAUCCAUGGUAAUCUGAUAACUAAUUCAUCUUUCAAUUGGAUGUCAAAUUCUCAUCGUGAUUGUUUUGUAGGAGGAACAUUUGAACUAGGAAUGAUAUAACAAACAUUUUGUUCUUCCCUACUGGUGGAAAAUGAUUCUUUUCCCUCUUUCUUUGUAGACAUGCUUUUUCAAUUUGUUAAUAUCUUAAGGUGUCAUACCAGGUGCGCCUUGAUUUUGACAGCAACAUCUUCUUCUAUGGGCGGUUGAUUAGCUGUCUCUUGUUUCUAGACGUUAACAUCUUCUUGCACAGCUCUACAUGGAAGAUGCAUCAUUGGUGGCCAUGUUGACUAUGAUCAGAGGUCUCAAUUUUUCAGGGUUCUCUUCUUAUUUCUUUGCUAUAUUUUUCUUUUCUACUUUUGUGUCUUUCUGUGUUUCUUGUUUCCUUAUUUUUUUUCCUUCUUGUAUUUGGAACCUAGAUAUUUGCCAUCUUUCAAAGGCCAUGUUUUAGCCACUGGAAGCUUGUUGAUAGCUAUUGGUGUAUAUAAAGGCAAUCAGCUAUGAGGCAUAUGAUUAAGUACUAUCAGCCUUCUUGUGUGAUACUGUUUCAAGACCUUUGUGAGAUUCUUCAUCUCAAUUUGAUUGUUUCUAAAACCAUAAGGGAUCUGCUUUUGCUUCAUUUUUUGAUCUAACCCUGAAAUGAAUAUAUACUCUGAGAUUGAUAAAAGUUAAAAGAGUUCUUAACUAAAAAAAUGAGAAAGUGCUGCUUGAGUUGGAGCAAUAGAAGAAUCUCUUUUAGGUAAAUUAUUGUAAUAACUGAAUGGGGGGUUUUUGGAGCCUAGCCCAAAAUGCACCUCUCCAUAAUUUCGGAACAUAGCCUGGUACGCCUUCCAGCACCGUAUCUCCUAGUAAGGUUUCCAUUAAAAGUAUAGCAUAAAAUUUUGAUUUUUCCACCAAUCUGAGAAGAAAAUGACAGAUAGAUCUUCUGCAUUUGUUUCUUCAUUUUUUGGUAGGGAACAAGGAGAGAAAUGGCCUUGGUGCUGCUCUGUUUUUGGUUCCCCAGAAGGCCAUCUAUGUCAUUUGCAUUACAGGCAAGGGAUAUUCAGAGCUCCUCUUUGCUUUUGUGUGUGUUUGAGGGGUGAUAAUGAGGCGGUGAUUGUAAUUUCUUCUGCAUAUCAAAUAAUGAAAAUUCUGGUAUUUCUGGAAAUUCAGUACUAGUAGCUAAUCUGUCAUGCUGGAAGCAACAAUGUUGGUGGAGCUGAAAGUGUGAAAAAGGUUCCUUCUUGCCGGUGAUAUUGAUAAGUAUAUGCUUUUUCAAACUAGUUCUUGUGCUGUUCAGUACUUUUUUAGCUGUCCAAAAUGACAAAUUGGAAAUUCUGCUUGGUGUUCUGACUUGUAGGUUUAAGGGUGUCAAUGUUGGUAAAGAUCAAGCUGGUGAUAAUUCAGUAGUUACUGAAUACAUGAAUAAAUACUUUUGUCCGUUUUUUAUGUGGAAAUAUAAUUAGGCUUAAAAAUUUAUGUUAAUUUCUUUUCCUUGUAUAGCUGACUUCUUAAAAUGAUGUUCCUGCCGUCAUUUCUUCUUGUAUAUAAUAAAAUUACGCUUGGCUGUUUUAGUAGCAAAA